UUUCCCCAAAAGCCACUAUCCUCAAUCAUUACUCCUUCCUUCUAUAUUUUUCACCUUUCUAUAUCUAUCUAUUUCACACAAAUGGAUUUAGUCCCUUCUUCUUCUUGUUGCCCUUUUCUUGGAAAGAAAAUCUUACCAUCACACUCAAGCUUUUUCAAGAUUUUUAGCUCGAAGUAAAUAUUUUCUUGAUUUGUAGAUAGUAUUUGGUUUCUUGGAAAGAAAAUCUCACCAACACACUCAAAACUCAUUUUGUUGAUUCGUAGAUAGUAUUCGGUUGAUUCAACUCAGCUCGAUUUUUCCGAAGUUUUACAGGCCAAGAAACUAGAGAUCAAGCACUUAUUACACACAUUUAAUUCCUACAUUGUCCUUUUCCAUUUCCUCUUACUAACCAUAUAACUAUAUCUGAAGUAAAUACUCUCUUGACUUGUAUCUAUAAAGUCAUAUAAGUUCACUAACCUGUUUCUCCUUAUUUCAAGUAUAUCAAUCUUUUCAGUUCACCCUCCCUUGACUUGUACCUAUUAAGUCAUAAAAGUUCACAACCUGUUUCUCCUUAUUUCAAGUAUAUCAAUCUUUUCAGUUCACCUUAAAAUAAGGGGACUUGGUCUUGUUCUAACGCUCUUGACUUUUUUUCACACCCCAUUUUUGUUCAAGAUCUGUCAAACCCUAAAAGUGAAAAAAGAACAUCAGUUGUAGCUGAAAAAGGGUUAUUUUUGUA
rnacentral:lncRNA from 1 species